CGCGGCGUAGCUCAAUGGGAAGAGCAAUUCGCUUUCUACUCGGAUGGCAACGCAUUCGGGGGUGGAUAGGUUGUGGGUUCGAGCCCCAUCGUCGCGU
rnacentral:tRNA from 1 species